CGCUCCCUACGGGAGGCAGCAGUGGGGAAUAUUGCACAAUGGGCGCAAGCCUGAUGCAGCGACGCCGCGUGAGCGAAGAAGUAUUUCGGUAUGUAAAGCUCUAUCAGCAGGGAAGAAAAUGACGGUACCUGACUAAGAAGCUCCGGCUAAAUACGCGCCAACAGCCGCGGUAAUACGUAUGGAGCAAGCGUUAUCCGGAAUUACUGGGUGUAAAGGGAGCGUAGACGGAUGUGCAAGUCUGGUGUGAAAGGCGGGGGCUCAACCCCUGGACUGCAUUGGAAACUGUAAAUCUUGAGUGCCGGAGG
rnacentral:rRNA from 1 species